UUGUCAAGUAUUUCACUCAUUCACAGUUUUCAAAAGUUCUGUGCAAUCCUUUCUUCCUUUUAUUUUAAAAGUAGGCAGCCUAACCAAAUGUUGGCCUUCUUGACUCUGAGUAAUCUUUAUUUUUUCCUGAUGAAAAAGAAGCAUCUCUUAUUUCCAGGCAGAGGAGCUAUCUACCUAUUUAUCUACAUUCCUCAUUUAGACUCAUUAUUUCCAGUAAGAGGAAUGGGCAGAGCAUUACUAGUAAAAUUGGAUUCUGAUUCACCUCCUAACUUAGCAACAUGUCUGGAAACCAUAAUGUGUACUAUGCACUUUGCUGAGAACACAGUGUCAUGUGUCUUCCUUCAAUACUUCGGAGGGAGAGAUAAACUAGAUAUACAAAGAAGUCAACAGGUGAUAAGUGCUAAGAAAAACAGUGAAUGAUAGAAGUCAGAGCAGUUGGGACAGGAUGGCCAAGAACCCUCUCUCCUGGAGUCUCAUUCAGGCAGAGUCCCAGGGAAAUGCACCAGAGGAACUUCUGGCUGAAUGGAAGGAAGAAUCAUCAAUGAAACGGGGAGAAUAAACAAACUUGUUUUUGUUCAUUUGAACUGAUGCAAAUAGUGAGAUGGUACCUGGAAAUCAUAAUUUGAAGAGAUCUAAAGCCCAAAAAGCAGCAAACCCGAGUGCCUAUUCUCAUGAAAACCAGCUGCCCACUCUAUUCUCCAAGGACCUGAAGACUCAGACUCCAAAGGAAUGCGCUGCCUUGCCAACAUUCCCCGUGUGCCCUGUUCGCUGAUUUCACAAACACAACUUGUUGAAAAUAGGAAAAGCCAUGAAAACAGAUGAACAUGUGAGAAAAGGAUCCUCUGGAAGCUCAAGAAAUUUACAGAUCCCUGAAUUUCAUUACUGUAGUUAUUUUUAAAUUAAGACAAUAACUGCUGCUUACAGGUUCUUGUUGACAAGUGGUACACUGAUACGGCAAGCCCAUGAUGUGACCCUCUUUCCCAGAACUGGGAGUAUCCAGAACUACCAUUCUUGGGAGCUUCUUUUAUUCUCAAGAUAUGAAACUUGUGCCUAUUCUGUUUUAGUCACACACACUUACUCAUUACCUGGAAGGGCAUGAAGAGUUUAUUCAUGGCCUCUGUACAUUUUGUGCUACUUUGUUAAAGCAGGAAAAAUGCAGACGGAUGAGUCAUCGUUUUCAGUUAGUUUUUCAAUUUCACCCGGAGCAAAGUUUUUCUAUAUCCAUACCAAUUUUAUUACUUUUCACAGUACUCUGACCAUGCACUUUGUAGGAUAAUUCAUUCUUUUGCUUGAGGGAUAUUAAUAAUAUACAUUGUAAAUGUGUGGGGGAGGGGAUAGCACUACCUAAGUACUUUUAAGUAAAUGUAAAAAAUAUUGAAAUCCAGCAAGAUUUAGUAACUCACAGGAAAGGUCCAAAGAAAUGUAGCUCACAAGAAAGAAGAAAGAAUUAUUCAAGAACCUUGAAACCAUGACACAGCUGUGCUGCGUCUAGGGAAACUAUUCUAAACAGUUUUCAAACCUGAAAUUUAUUUAAUUCAACAGAUCUCACACACCUGUAAGCCCAGUCCCAUUAUAGGGAAGUAUAUUCAUACAUUUAGUCAAUAAAAUAUCUAAGUGCUGCUGACAGGUACGACAUUGUAAAUACAAGAGCACAGUCUACAAGGAACCUUGUCUAGCUGGGUAAAAACCACACAUGAACUAGUUCACUGCAGUGCAAGGGCGAGUGUGGGGUGAACUCAGAGGAGAGGUGCAGACAGUGUGUGCUUUGAAGUCUGUGCCUGCGUCAGCUCCUUGACCCCAGCUCACCAGUUCUUGAAGGGCAAACAAUAUAUGAGUGAAAGAAGCAAAGGAACAAGACACUCAGGGAAACGGGAGCAGCACAUACAAAAGGAGAAAGCAAAGGUACACAUGUGACAAAGGGGCGCCCACUUGGGGAGAAGACGCAGAGGGCAUGUGGGGAAGAAAAUGUGGGCCGACACAAACUGCCGCCGCUGGGAUAGAAACGACCUUUUUAAGGAGAAAAAAAGAACUAUGGACCAAUACAAAAGAAAAACUAUCUUUUUAAUGUCGUGGCUAGUACAGUCUGUGUGCAAUUGUAAGGGAAAUUAGUCACAAAUAAUCUUCCUUAUCUUCAUUUGCAUGAGUCAGGCUGGAGCUAGAAAAGUUGAUGUUGAUUGUCUUGUUGGAGAAGUGAUAGCUCUCUUCCCAGGGAACAGGAAGAGAAAUUGGGAUGGACUAAUGCUGAUUAAAGUUAUUUGUGCAAAGGAGAGGCAGAGUUAUCAAAUAGUAAUGAAUUUAUGUACCAGUAUUGUGCAUUAAUUUCCUCUAUUGGAGAGGCACAACUUCAGUCUCUUCAUCUGGGGAAUUAAAAAGUAAUCUCAACAAUCAAGAGAUUCCGUCAGUGCAGGGGUUCAAUGGACUUAAAACCCAAAUGACAACCCUAGAAUUUAUAUAAUUAUAAAUGGCUUGGGAUAUGCAUAUCCUACCUAUAAUCGUAAUGCCUCUCAUUUCUAAAAACGAGAUUCCAAAAAAACGAAAGGUAAGGUUCUCUCUCUCUCUCUCUCUCUCCUUCCCUCCCUCCCUCCCUCCCUCUCCUUCUCCCUCUGUCUCUGUCUCUCUCCCUCUCUCUCUCUUUCCCUUUCCAUGAAUGUACUACAACCUACUUUCAAGCUAUGACAGGUUCCACUGCUCAUCAUCCCCUGCAUGAUCACACAAGCUACUUCAUUCUAUAAAAUCUUACUUUCUUACACUCUAACACCUGGCUAAUAAUACCAUUUGAUACAGGUGUUAUGAAGAUGAAGGUAGAUGUAUGUGCCAAGUGCCUGGCACAGACGCUGACAUGCACUGAAAUACAGUUUUCUUUUUGUUAAAUCUGUGUAGUUAUUUAUAGUUCAUAAACCACUUUUAUAAAUUUCACAAAAGCUGUGUGAGAAAGAUGUAAUUAUUACUAGUUUUAAAGAUGAGAAAGCUGAGAAGUUUCAAGGAGGUGCAUAGCAGGAGACAGAACUGGAGCAGUGCAGAGGAUCCAUUUUAAUGGAUUUACCCUUUACUCCAGCUAUUCUUUAGUGGAACACUCAACGUGAAAUAAAACAAAUUUUCUUAUAUUUACACACCAUGAGAACUCAACAAAUGUGGUUCUCUUCUGGAUCUCAUAAAGUCCCUGGUGAGGACUCUAGGUAAACUAGGAAGCUGGCCAACAGUUCCUCGAUUUUCUACUUUUGCAUGUCCAAUAUGGCAGUCAUUACUACAUGCAACUAUCAAUUCCUAAUCCACAUUGAAAUAAAUACAUUGCAAGUGUAAAGUACGCACUGAGUUUUAAAGGCUUAAUGUGAUAAGGUAAACUACCCCAAUCAUGCUUUAACUGACUAAUGAUGAAAUUAAAAUAUUUGGGGUAAGUUAAAUUAAAUAUUUCACAUUUUUACUUCCUUAUAAUGUGGCUACUAGAAAAUUUUCAGUGCAUAUGUGGCUCAUGUUUAUGACUUGCAUUAUAUGAUGGAGUUACUCUGCUUAAUCUUUACUCUUGCAAGGGUACCUCGGGCCUCCCAGCCCUCUCUGCACCAGGAUGCUCCUGCCAGAGAGCAAUAUUCUGCUACCUAUCUCAUGCCAGCAUGUUAAUCUCUGUCUCUGUCUCUCUCUGUCUGCCUCUUUCUCUGUCCCCCCCACCGAGGUCAGUAGGAUUCCAUUUAGUGGACCAGGAGUAGGUAGCAAUAGGGAAAGGACUGUGGCAAGCUGAAGAAUACAUGCUUCAUCCAAAGGUAAGAGACACUAUUCACCUCUAACAGUUGUAGACAUAUCAAAUUUAGGUCCUAUAUGCUCAGACCUUUUGAAUUUUCAAGGGCAUUCAGAAAUCUAUUUUCUUAUGUAUGUCUCCUGAUUUUCAGAUCUGCAACAAUAUAAACAUUGUAACAAGGACUGUGAAACAUACAUAACAAUAUGAUGGGGGUUGUAUUUUUUUUUUUUUUUUUUGCCUAGUCAUCCUGAGCUUUUGACCAAGGCACACCUGGUGAGAUGUGGGUAAACUGAACAGGUAGUACUUACGACACUGGCUUUGGUUCUUGGCAUUUCUGGAGCUGGAAAAGUCCCCUCCUAGACAAGAUACAAGUCCUAGCGAGAACAAAUGGUUCAUUUAGUCAUGCCACCUCUCUACAGGCUAAAAAUGUCAGCCUCUGAUUCUCUGUAAUGGAUCUUUAAAAGUAAAUAGUAUAUCCUGCCUGCUUGAAGAUUUGCCUCUGUCGAGGGUCCUCAGAAAGCUGAAACUCUCUUCUAGGAAGGUGGCUAGAGGUAGGUGUCAUAGUGAAAGCUUCUGUGCUGGUCUCUGGCGGAUGAGGGUAAUGGCACAAAUGGUUGUUGUCCUUCAGGAAUCUCUCUCCCAUCUUAGCAUUUAGUCUACAAGGAUGCACGUCACUUACCCACAGUGAACUGAAAUCCUUAAAUAAGCCAGGUGGACAAAAAUAAUCACAGUGCAGAAUACGCCUGUUAUUUAUAGGAUGGACUGUAUUCUGGACACCUGAGUCAGGCCCCUGGGGAAGAGAGUUUCCUUACGUUGCAGUUGAUGCAAGCAGAAUUGGAUCCAGUCAGAUUCGAAAUCCAUGUUCCCUCUUCCCACUUUGAAAAUGUACAAGGCCUAACACAAGUGCAAAACGAGAAAAAGGCAGAUAUAACAUGCAGCAUUCACUCAGUAUCCACUUGUUCUUUCUGGCCUCUCCUUACGCAAAUAUGCCAUUAGAGUUCUUAGGAUUGAAACCACUUACUUACAUUGUUGAUAAUGACCCUAAAAUAAAUAGACUCUGAGUGAUUUCUACCCUUCUUAUUCCAUACUGGGACUUUCCUAGGCGGUGUCAGACUGUGAGAUUUCCCUAAUAUUCCUUUUCAUAAGAACAUGGCAGAGUUGGCCAGAGUUAACCUUUUAAUCAUAUAUAAUACCAUAGCUUCCAGGGCUUCUAAGUCAUCAAAGCAACUUCAUUUCUACAGUGUUGGCCCCUGUUAACAGUCUAAUGAGGUUGCAAAAGUGGGGAUUAUUGUCUAUGUUUCAACGAAAAGGAAGUGGAGUUUUGGAAGGCUGAUUCUGUGACUGUCCUGGGUGCCCAGAGCAGUGCCUCUCCUGAUCCUCAAGCAGGCUUCUUUCUACUGUACUUAAAGCAGUGAGGAUCUAAGAAGUCUUUAGCUCAUGUUCCCAAGCAGAGUUGACCCCCAUGAUAUAACAUAUUAGUACAUUGCCCGAGAUAUGCUAUAGGGAAAAAGACCUAUUCAUACUUACACUGAUCCUGACCUAAGUUAUAACAAUUAUUUAUAACAUCAUUUUUACAUCAAGAAAAACCAAGAACAUAGGAAUACUAUAUUGAAUUGUUUGCAAUUGCUGGUGUCUUUGAGGGACAUGAGAAUGUUUUUUCUCUCUCUUUAGGAAUCCAAACAAGAAACUACGUCAUUCCAAACAGGGACAGCUGAACAGGUGGUCUUGACAAGUUCUUACACUGUGACCUCUUUUCUAGUUUAAGUUUAAAAAGAAAUGAAGAUAAGAGAGAAUGUAUACAAUGGCAAUAGAGCUCAAGAUAGGGAUGGAAAAGGCAUCAGCUGUCAGAGAGGUGAGGUGGGCAGAUGAAGUAUGGAGUCAGCAGAAGAGACAGGGCAAUGGCAGAGAAAAGAUUAGACAGUGACAGGGGCAGAUGGGGCCUGAGGGUCACCAAAUCUCAACCCAGACUUAAGGCCUUUCCUGAAAAAUCGAAAGUUUCUUUUCAAUAUCUUCACAUAUCUAUCACAAGCAUGGUCAUGCAAGGAAUAUAAACACAUUUUUCUAAUUCAAUCUACAUUUUGUUUGCUUGACAUUCAUAAUUAGUGAUAUUCUUUUGUAUAAUGUUCUUCUUAAUUUUGUGAUGUCAGUUAUAGCAUUCUUAAAUGCAUUUUCAUAACCCAGUCUGAGAAACUCUGCCCCAUUUAUUAUAGGAGCUCAAUAAGGUAAUGUGUUCCAACUGUUCAACUAAAAAUAAGUUUUAAGAACAUGACCUCUCUGGGCCAGGGAUUUAGCUCAGUGAUUCAAGCAUUUGCUUGGUAAGUGCAAAGUGAUGAAUUCUAUUCUUGGUACAAAAAAAAAAAAAAACACCCAAAGAAAGAUGGCAGAUAGACAACAAGCUACAGAAGCUCCCUAAGAUAGUCAACUUAGAAUUCAACAUAAUACAAAGUGGGGAGCCCCAAACAGAGGGAGAUGAAUUCUCUUGUCCCAAGAAGAAGUUAAAGGGACUUGCUGACCAUCCAAGGUCCUGCCACGACUGGCCGACGCCGCGACUGGCUGGGAGUCCCACUGCGACUUGCUGAGGAGGGGGGGUCCCGCUGUGACCUGCCUAGCCGCGAGGUCCCGCUGCUUCGACUCACUAGAGGCACAGUUACAUUGAGUUUGGGGUUCAGUGAGCCAAAUGGAGAGCUGACUUGGCAGGGAGCCUACACUGACCUGUGGUGAGUGAUGGGAGUGGAGCCAUUCCAUAAAUAGGGAGGCCCUGGCAGACGACACUCUGGGAUCAAGCAGAACUAGCAAGUACAAGGGGCAGCAGUGACUUCAGUUGUUCCCUUCCCAAAGGGGAUUGGUGGCAGUGAGCUAGACCUGGGUCACGUGACCUGGCUGAGACCCAAUAGGUUAUCUGAGGUCAAGUCCCUACAGCAGUGGCACACACUAACCACACUGGGCCAGUGGCUGGUCCGGAGGGAGGCAGUACAAAGUAAUACAGUAGUGUAGACCACAGCAGCUUGAUUAAUCUAGAGGGGAGGGGUAAGCAUACGCAGUCCCUGUCUGCAACUCAUUAACACACUGCAGCAUGAAGGGUCAUCUCGCCAGCACACUUCAGAAGAAUUGUAACCAACAAAGAAAGAGACUGGGGCCUCCUGGAAGAAGCAAAAAAAGAUGGGAAGAGGAAGCAACAACAAAAAGUCCUCAGGCCCCAACCCUGAGAACAUUGACCCAGGACAGGUAAAUACAAAGGAGAAUGAGAACAGCAAACAUGAAUAUCAGACACAGCCGCCAGUGGACAUAAAGAGAUAUAUUUGGGACCUCAUAGAUGAGUUCAAAAGUGAAAUAUUUAGCCAAACAAAGCAAGAUAUAAGAAGAUUAACAAAAAAGAUACUAAGCACUCCUCAAGCAGACACAGAUGGAAGAAGGGAGGAACUCAAACAUAGGAGAGAACUAUUUGGUGAAGAAUAUAAAACAUAUAUAGAAUACAUGAAGCAGAUUCAAAGAGAUCACUAGGAAAUUAAAAACUCUAUGGAAAGAUGGCAAAUCAGCUUGAAAGAAACUAAGGAUAGAUUAUCCAAACUGAAGGACAAUUUUGCAGUGUGGAAGUAUGAAAGGGAAAAUAUUUUAAAACUAACAAGGAAAUAAGCAUUAACAAUACAAAGGCUAGAAGAUGACUAAAGGAUCUAUAACUUGAGAAUAAAGAAUGUAAAUGAAGAAGCUGGGAUACAAACAAAGGACCUACAAAGGUUAUUCACAGAAAUAAUUAAGGAAGACUUCCCAAACAUAGGAAGAGCAAAUGAUAUUCUGCUAUAUGAGGCAUACAGAACCCCAGCCACCUACAACCAAAACAGAGCUAUACCCAGGCAUAUAAUAAUCAAGAUCCCAGAAAUUCAAUAUAAGAACAGAAUAUUAAAAGCUGUUAGAGACAAGAAACAGAUCACCUAUAAAGGAAGAUCCAUCAGAAUAACAGCAGACUUCUCGACACAAAUCAUCAAGUCAAGAAGAACCUGGAGCGAAAUAUUCCAAGCCCUGAAAGAAAAUAACCUCCAGCCCAGAUUGAUAUACCCUGCUAAACUGUCUCUAGAAAUUAAUUGGAGAAACAAGAUGCUUCCAAGACAAAGAGGAACUUGGGAAAUUUGCAACAAUCAAUCCAACUUUACAGAGAUACUGCAGGGCAUUCUAGAGAGAGAGAAAAGUACUAGGAUUCCAGGAACAGUGGCAGAGAGUCCUCAAUGAAUGGAGCAGAAAACAGAAUGAAGAAGAUAAGCAGACAACUGAGGGCAAAAAAAGAGCAUAACAGAAAUGAGGCAGAGAAGAUUUAUUCAAAACUGAUAUGAUUGAAAGAAUCAAGAGAGUAUAGGUAACUACACUAAAGAUGACAAGACUCGACGAUACACAUUCUUGUUUGAUAACUGCCAGUUUUUGAAGUUCUACACUAUAUACAAAGUUGUGUUUUUAUUAAUAUUGUUAUGUACUGACAUAUUCAAUUAUACUAUGUCUGAUGAUAUAGCCAAUUCUUUUGGAGAUAACAAGAGACAACACAAGAACUAUGGUAGAAAGAUUUGUACAACCGUCUUAUAGGUUUAUUUCAUUUCAUGUGUUUAUAGGAAUAUAUUUUGUUUUGUCUUGCUUUGUUUUGUUUCUCCCUCUAAUAUAGAAAGGAUAGAAAUACAGGUUAAGACUCAUGCAUGUGUAGAAUCCAUAAACAGUUUAUGAGAACUGAUCAUAUGAUGAAAUGAAUAGAUACUCUGAAGAAAAAGCGACACUAAAAUACCCAGUGCUGAUCCUGGAGUGUCAUAAUGUGAAACCCAGCAGUAGUAUUAUUUUUGUUCAGUGAUAUUAGCCUGUUUGGGUUUAUUCAAUCUCAAUCUCUUCAUAAUUGAAGAGAUGGAUAACUGCAUGUAUGUUUAAGUGUAUAGGAUUGAUAACCAUAUUUCUAAGUUUUUGUUGGAUAGUUGAAUAGAACUGGUUGCAAUCUCACUGUUUGAAUCCCCACUUUAUAAGUUCCACUUUAGUAUCUUGAAUAACUAUUUGUAAGAAGAAAAUCUAUAAUCAUCACCUAGUGAUUUCUUACUGUUUAUUUUUUUCUUUGAAAUUAUGUAUUAUUUCUACCCAUUUGCUAUUUUGUUUAAUCUUUCUUUAAAUUAAAAUUUAAAAAAAAGA